rnacentral:rRNA from 1 species
CCUACGGGAGGCAGCAGUGAGGAAUAUUGGUCAAUGGGCGUAAGCCUGAACCAGCCAAGUCGCGUGAGGGAUGAAGGUUCUAUGGAUCGUAAAUCUCUUUUAUAAGGGAGUAAAGUGUGGGACGUGCCCUAUUUUGUAUGUACCCUAUGAAUAAGGAUCGGCUAACUCUGUGACAGAAGCCGCGGUAAUACGGAGGAUCCGAGCGUUAUCCGGAUUUAUUGGGUUUAAAGGGUGCGUAGGCGGCAUUGUAAUUCAGCGGUGAAAGUCUGUGGCUCAACCAGAGAAUUGCCUUUGAAACUGGGGGGCUUGAGUAUUGUAGAGGCAGGCGGAAUGCGUGGUGUAGCGGUGAAAUGCUUAGAUAUCACGCGGAACCCCGAUUGCGAAGGCAGCCUGCCAAGCCAUGACUGACGCUGAUGCACGAAAGCGUGGGGAUCAAACAGGAUUAGAUACCCUAGUAGUC